rfam:Mus musculus chromosome 12 genomic contig, GRC reference assembly alternate locus group BALB/c.
AGCAUUUAUGUGUGGUUUUGUUCAAUGAAAGAAAAGGCAGGGAAAAUUCAUGACAAAUCUCUUUUGCUAUCCAGAACUCAUUGUUCAAUACGAGUUUUGAUACAUACAAGAAAAAUAUG